AUACGGAAGGCAGCAGUGGGGAAUAUUGGACAAUGGGCGAAAGCCUGAUCCAGCAAUGCCGCGUGAGUGAUGAAGGCCUUAGGGUUGUAAAGCUCUUUUACCCGGGAUGAUAAUGACAGUACCGGGAGAAUAAGCUCCGGCUAACUCCGUGCCAGCAGCCGCGGUAAUACGGAGGGAGCUAGCGUUGUUCGGAAUUACUGGGCGUAAAGCGCACGUAGGCGGCUUUGUAAGUUAGAGGUGAAAGCCUGGAGCUCAACUCCAGAAUUGCCUUUAAGACUGCAUCGCUUGAAUCCAGGAGAGGUGAGUGGAAUUCCGAGUGUAGAGGUGAAAUUCGUAGAUAUUCGGAAGAACACCAGUGGCGAAGGCGGCUCACUGGACUGGUAUUGACGCUGAGGUGCGAAAGCGUGGGGAGCAAACAGGAUUAGAUACCCCGGU
rnacentral:rRNA from 1 species